UGGGGAUGACGUCAAGUCAUCAUGGCCCCUAUGGGCAGGGGUACACACGUGCUACAAUGGUCGGUACAAAGGGUUGCCAACCCGCGAGGGGGAGCUAAUCCCAUAACGCCGAUCGUAGUCCGGAUUGGAGUUUGCAACUCGACUCCAUGAAGUCGGAAUCGCUAGUAAUCGCAGAUCAGCAUUGCUGCGGUGAAUACGUUCCCGGGCCUUGUACACACCGCCCGUCACACCAUGGGAGUUGGCUGCACCAGAAGCCGGUAGUCUAACCUUCGGGAGGGCGCCGUCCACGGUGUGGUCGAUGACUGGGGUGAAGUCGUAACAAGGUAGCCGUAA
rnacentral:rRNA from 1 species